rnacentral:rRNA from 1 species
UUUGAAAGGGAAACGAUUGAAGUCAGUCGUGCAGUCAUCAACUCAGCGCUAACAUAGCUAAAUUUACCUGGUGGCGAGUGUCAAAACCGUCAUCAAGUAAGUUUAACUAUGCUAGCGCGUACUUUGUUGUCUGCUGGUUAGCAUCAAUUUUGAUUGUCAUAAAAAGGUUAAGGGGAUGUGGCUCCUUCGGGAGUGUUAUAACCCUUGGCGGAAUGUGACGAUUGGGAUUGAGGUUUGCAACGAAUACCUUUAGGGCAGUUCCUUCUGGUCUCUUGUUGACGUUCAGAUGACAACAGCUUGCUUUUGUUGUUUGAAUAGUUUGCGAAUAGAUUGGAAUGUGAAUUAAUUCGUUAAGGAUGUUGACGUA